AUGGGGAAACAUCAGUCGGGUGCCUAUAAGCGCAAGAAAAAAGCAGAAGAAGAAAAUUUAAUUAAGAAAUCUUAUAAAGGUGGUAUGGACAGAUUUGUUAAAAAAAGUACCCAAGUGUCAUCUGGUAAUCAGUCUACUGAUCCUUCUACCCUUGCACUUGCAAUUGUUCCUUACAAUGAUUCUAGAGAUAGUCAGACGGAGACAGAUAAUAUGGACGUAGAGGAAGAUAAUAUUGAUGUUAACUUGAAUAGUUCACCUCGUGAGGAUUUUGAUGAUUCUUUUCGGUCUGAUAUAUUUGAUCCAAGAAACUGGGAUUCUCUUAAUUCUAAACAGAUUGAUAUCUUAGCACAGAAGGGUCCAAAAACAGACAAGUUAGUUAAAGGUCCCAAAGAUAGAUAUCGUAAAAGGUUUACUUCAGUAUUCUAUACUAGAAUCCUAUCAAAUGGAGAGUAUUUUGAUAGAGACUGGCUUGUCUAUUCUGAACAACUUGAUAGAGUCUUUUGCUUUGGUUGUAAAUUAUUUACAAAAGGUCAUCGGAAAGGUCAGUUGGCAAAUGAGGGCUGUAAUGAUUGGUCACAUAUGACCAAUAGACUAAAAGAUCAUGAGACAAGUGUGGAUCAUGUUUUGAGUAUGACUAAUUGGUAUGAGUUGCGUAGUAGAUUGGAAAAACAUCAAACUAUUGAUAAAGCUGCUCAACGACAACUUGAGAAAGAGAAGGACCAUUGGAGAAAGGUAUUAUUCAGAAUUGUUUGCAUUGUAAAAUUUCUUGCAAAGCAUAAUCUAGCAUUCUGUGGUACUAAUGGCAAGCUGUAUGAAGAUAGCAAUGGUAAUUUCUUGGGUUUGGUAGAGAUGUUGGCUGAAUUUGACCCCGUUAUUCAGGAGCAUGUUUGUCGUAUUACAAAUGAAGAAACUCAUGCUCAUUAUCUUGAUCAUAAGAUUCAGAAUGAAUUGCUACACUUGCUCGCUUCUGCUAUUAGGUCUGAAAUUAUCAAGAAAAUAAAGAGCUCAAAGUAUUUCUCUGUCAUACUUGAUUGUACCCCAGAUGCAAGUCAGCAAGAGCAAAUGUCUUUAAUUAUAAGAUAUGUGGAUUCAUCUUCAAGUCAAGUUUGCAUAGAAGAGCCCUUUCUAGGAUUUCUGGAUGUAAAUGAUACAACCGGCCAAGGACUUUUCGAUGUGCUAGAGAAGGAGCUAAAACUUCUUGAUCUUGAUAUAAAUGAUGUGCGAGGACAAGGUUAUGAUAAUGGAUCAAAUAUGAAAGGAACGCAUCAAGGGUUACAAAGGAAACUUUUGGAUGUAAAUCCUAGAGCUUUUUAUUCAGCUUGUGGUUGUCAUAGCCUUAAUUUAACACUUUGUGAUAUGGCCAAGACUUGUGGUAGAGCAAAGGACUUUUUUGGAAUCAUCCAACGCAUCUAUACAAAUUUUUCCAAUUCUACUAAGAAAUGGCAUAUUUUGAAAGAAAACGUAUCAGGAUUGACUCUCAAGUCUGUGUCCGCUAUGCGUUGGGAGAGUCGUGUUGAAAUUGUUAAAGCUAUCAGAUUUCAAUGUUCAGACAUUCGGGAGGCUCUACUUCAGGUAUCUGAUAUUGAUCCAAAGGCAAGCAGUGAGGCUCUAGGUUUGGCAAAUAAUGAACUUGGAGAGUAUGAAUUUAUCGUGGCAAUAGUCAUUUGGUAUGAGGUAUUGUUUGCUGUUAAUUUAGUAAGCCAAAACUUGCAAACAAAGGAUAUGCUUAUUGAUGUUGCUAUCGAGAAAGUGAAAGGGCUUAUUUCUUUCUUCGAGGGGUACACGGAAACUGGUUUCUUAGAAGCAUUGGAGAUAGCCAAAUAAAUUGCACUUGAGAUGGAUAUUGGUGCAACAUUUCGUAAAAGGAGAGAAAUUAAAAGAAAGAAACAGUAUGAUGAGAACCCAGACGGCACAAAUAUUGCCACACGGGCUGCAGAGGAAUCAUUUAGAAUCAACUAUUUUACACGUGUUGUCGAUCAAGCAAUUUCCUCACUCACAAGGAGAUUUGAGCAAUAUCAAGGUUACCAGAAAUUUUUUGGUUUCUUAUUUACCUCUGAAACAUUGCGUUCAUUGGAUAAGGAUAGUUUGAAAUCUUCUUGAGUUAAUCUUGAGGCUGCCCUUAUGAAAGAUAAACAAUCUGAUAUUGAUGCCAAUGAUCUGUUUGUUGAGUUGAAGUUCCUUCAAAAUUUCAUGCCAAAAGAAAAUAUCGGACCUGUUGAAAUUCUGAAUUUUUUAAAGCGGCAUCACUAUUUUCCCAAUGCAAGUAUUGCAUAUAGAGUUCUGUUGACCAUUCCUGUGACAGUUGCAUCGGCAGAAAGAAGUUUUUUUAAGUUGAAGCUAUUGAAGUCCUAUAUGCGUAGUACUAUGACACAACAAAGACUCAAUGAUUUGGCCACAAUAGCACUUGAGAGUGAAGUGUUGGAGAAGAUUGAUUACGAGGGUAUCAUUGUAGAUUUCAUUUCAAAACAUACUAAAAGAAUGAAGUUUUUCAAAUAA
rnacentral:rRNA from 1 species